AGGGUGUAAACGCUGCGGGCUUGGUGUUGGGGGUCCUUUGAGGGCGCCCAGUGCCGGAGAGAAGUUGUUAAGCCUGCUGCUUGGGGAGUACGUCCGCAAGGAUGAAACUUAAAGGAAUUGGCGGGGGAGCACCACAACGGGUGGAGCUUGCGGUUUAAUUGGAUUCAACGCCGGAAAUCUUACCGGGACCGACAGCAACAUGAAGGCCAGGCUGAAGACUUUGCCGGAUUAGCUGAGAGGUGGUGCAUGGCGUAGUCGUGU
rnacentral:rRNA from 1 species